UACGGAGGGGCUAGCGUUGUUCGGAAUUAGCUGGGCGUAAAGCGCGCGUAGGCGGAUCUGCAAGUCGGGGGUGAAAUCCCGAGGCUCAACCUCGGAACUGCCUUCGAUACUGCGGGUCUCGAGUCCGGGAGAGGUGAGUGGAAUUCCUAGUGUAGAGGUGAAAUUCGUAGAUAUUAGGAAGAACACCAGUGGCGAAGGGCGGCUCACUGGCCCGGUACGUGAACGCUGAGGCGGCGCAAAAGCGUGGGGAGCAAACAGG
rnacentral:rRNA from 1 species